rnacentral:rRNA from 1 species
UGAUGGCGAGUGGCGAACGGGUGAGUAAUACAUCGGAACGUGCCCUGUAGUGGGGGAUAACUAGUCGAAAGAUUAGCUAAUACCGCAUACGACCUGAGGGUGAAAGUGGGGGACCGCAAGGCCUCAUGCUAUAGGAGCGGCCGAUGUCUGAUUAGCUAGUUGGUGAGGUAAAGGCUCACCAAGGCGACGAUCAGUAGCUGGUCUGAGAGGACGAUCAGCCACACUGGGACUGAGACACGGCCCAGACUCCUACGGGAGGCAGCAGUGGGGAAUUUUGGACAAUGGGCGAAAGCCUGAUCCAGCAAUGCCGCGUGUGUGAAGAAGGCCUUCGGGUUGUAAAGCACUUUUGUCCGGAAAGAAAUGGCUCUGGUUAAUACCUGGGGUCGAUGACGGUACCGGAAGAAUAAGGACCGGCUAACUACGUGCCAGCAGCCGCGGUAAUACGUAGGGUCCAAGCGUUAAUCGGAAUUACUGUGCGUAAAGCGUGCGCAGGCGGUUGUGCAAGACCGAUGUGAAAUCCCCGAGCUUAACUUGGGAAUUGCAUUGGUGACUGCACGGCUAGAGUGUGUCAGAGGGGGGUAGAAUUCCACGUAUAGCAGUGAAAUGCGUAGAGAUGUGGAGGAAUACCGAUGGCGAAGGCAGCCCCCUGGGAUAACACUGACGCUCAUGCACGAAAGCGUG